CAGCCGCCGCGGUAAUACGGAGGGUGCGAGCGUUGUUCGGAAUUACUGGGCGUAAAGCGCGUGUAGGCGGCUUGGUCAGUCAGAUGUGAAAGCCCCCGGCUUAACCGGGGAGGUGCAUCUGAAACUGCCUGGCUUGAGUACGGGAGAGGGAGGCGGAAUUCCCAGUGUAAAGGUGAAAUUCGUAGAUAUUGGGAGGAACACCGGUGGCGAAAGCGGCCUCCUGGACCGAUA
rnacentral:rRNA from 1 species